UACGGAGGGGGCGAGCGUUAUUCGGAAUUAUUGGGCGUAAAGGGCGCGUAGGCGGCGCGGUAAGUCAAAGGUGAAAUCCCUCGGCUCAACUGAGGAACUGCCUUUGAUACUGCCGUGCUCGAGGCCGGGAGGGGGUAGCGGAAUUCCCAGUGUAGCGGUGAAAUGCGUAGAUAUUGGGAGGAACACCAGUGGCGAAGGCGGCUACCUGGACCGGUACUGACGCUGAUGCGCGAAAGCGUGGGUAGCAAACAGG
rnacentral:rRNA from 1 species